AUCCAACUGACGAGUCCCAAAUAGGACGAAGUGGCUCAUGUCCAGCUGGAU
rnacentral:hammerhead_ribozyme from 1 species